rnacentral:rRNA from 1 species
CACGUAGGGCGCGAGCGUUGUCCGGAAUUAUUGGGCGUAAAGAGCUCGUAGGCGGUGUGUCGCGUCGGCCGUGAAAACCUGCAGCUUAACUGUGGGCUUGCGGUCGAUACGGGCAUCACUGGAGUUCGGCAGGGGAGACUGGAAUUCCUGGUGUAGCGGUGAAAUGCGCAGAUAUCGGGAGGAACACCGGUGGCGAAGGCGGGUCUCUGGGCCGAUACUGACGCUGAGGAGCGAAAGCGUGGGGAGCGAACAGG